rnacentral:misc_RNA from 1 species
GUGAAUCAUCAAAUUUUUGAACGCAAAUUGCACUUUCUGGUAUUCCGGAAAGUAUGUCUGUUUGAGGGUUAGUUAAAUAAAAAUCGGUGUUGUUGUUGCCUUUCGCGUGACGUGUCGGAAUUGGGUAGUCUUACCUUCGGAUAAGUGAUUUAAAAUUUUUGUAUGAUUCUUGAACGUAUUUAAAUCGCUUAUGUAUGUUUGGGUUAUCGAAUGU